rnacentral:rRNA from 1 species
GACGAACGCUGGCGGCGUGCCUAAUACAUGCAAGUCGAACGCAGUGGGGACGGGUGAGUAACACGUGGGUAACCUCCCAUCAGAGGGGAUAACACUUGGAAACAGGUGCUAAACCGCUACUUGUGGAUGGACCCGCGGUGCAUUAGCUAGUUGGUGAGGUAACUGCUCACCAAGGCCACGAUGCAUAGCCGACCUGAGAGGGGUGUAAGCAACACUGGGACUGAAGCACGGACCAGACUCCUACGGGCGGCAGCAGUAGGAAAUCUUCGGCAAUGGACGAAAGUCUGACCGAGCAACGCCGCAUGAGUGAAGAAGGUUUUCGGAUCGUAAAACUCUGUUGUUAGAAAAGCGGUAUAUAACCAAAAAGCCGCGGCUAACUACGUGCCAGCCGCCGCGGUAAUAC